CAUUUGGUGGAUGCCUUGGCGACAAGAGGCGAAGAAGGACGUGGCACGCUGCGAUAAGCUGUGGGGAGGGGUGAGCACCCGUUGAUCCGCAGAUCUCCGAAUGGGGCAACCCGGCCGCAAGGUCAUCCCGCAAGGGAAGCGAACGAGGGGAACUGAAACAUCUCAGUACCCCUUAGGAAAGGACAUCAACAGAGACUCCGUCAGUAGUGGCGAGCGAAAGCGGAUGAGGCCAGUGGCCUCAGGCUAAGAACCGGAACGGUCUGGAAAGGCCGGCCAGAGCGGGUGAUAGCCCCGUACGGGUAGAAAGGUCUGAGGUCCUUGAGUAGGGCGGGGCACGUGAAACCCUGUCCGAACAUGGGGGACCACCCUCCAAGCCUAAGUACUCCUUGUCGACCGAUAGCGAACAAGUACCGUGAGGGAAAGGUGAAAAGCACCCCGACGA
rnacentral:rRNA from 1 species